GCGGAAAGGAGAGUGAAGGUGCGGGAAGGAGAGCUGCAGGUGCGGGAAGGAGAGCUGCAGGUGCGGGAAGGAGAGCUGCAGGUGCGGGAAGGAGAGCUGCAGGUGCGGGAAGGAGAGCUGCAGGUGCGGGAAGGAGAGCUGCAGGUGCGGGAAGGAGAGCUGCAGGUGCGGGAAGGAGAGUGCAGGUGCGGGAAGGAGAGCUGCAGGUGCGGGAAGGAGAGCUGCAGGUGCGGGAAGGAGAGUGCAGGUGCGGGAAGGAGAGUGCAGGACCUGCAAAUACAACUGAUUAUCCUGAAGACAUACCACCUGUGGAACGCCUGACCCAGGAAAUAUUACUUCUUUGGGAAAAAGUUGCUUCAGUAGAAUCCCAGGGUCAAGAAAUUUGAGGAAACCAAAGACAACGGGUAAGUCAUUGGAAUACAGACACUUUCUCCCCUUCCCUCCCUCCCUCCCCCACUCUCUCCCCCUGCUGUCCCCUUUCUCUCUCUCUCUCUCUCUCUCUCUCUCCCUCUCCCUCUUCUCCCUCCCUCUACCCCUUUCCUCCCCCUCCCCUCCCCUCCCCCCUUCCCAACCCUUCCCCUUUUCCUCCUCCUCCCCUCCCCUCUUCUCCCUGUCCUCCCCCUCCCCUCCCCCCCUCCCUUCUCCCCUCCCUUCCCCUUCCCCCAUCUAAAUAUAUAUAUAUUUAUGGAGUCUCACUGUGUCACCCAAGCUUGAGUGCAGUGGUACCACCAUGGCUGACUGCAGCCUCAAACUCUGGGGCUCAAGGCAUCUUCCUGCCUCAGCCUCCUGAGUAGCUGGAGCUGCAGGUGCAUAUCACCACACCCGGCACAAACUUUGUUUUUCUACUGUGAAUUAAACCAUGGUAGUGGUUUUUCAUAAAUGGUGUUUCAUGGAGAAACUGUGCUCUGAAGUUUCCUACUUUGGUCGGUAGCAGCUAUAGAUGCCUCUUUCUGAUGUGCGGUUCUGUAAAGAGCAGCAGUUCUUUUAGACACAUAAUAAUAGUUACCCCUCACACUCAUACAUAAGUCGUCUCUCUCUCAACUGAAUCUUUCUCCUCUGUCUGCAUUUAACCAUGUUCACAUCUCUCCCAGUUUAAAGAGAAACCCCUGCCUUUGCCCCAGCGAUCUUGGGAGCUACACCCCGUUUAACCUUUCUUUUCCAAAAGACUUACUUGCCUGUACUCCCUGUCUCCAUUAGCAUCUCUCUCACUGACUACUCACCCCACUGCAUUCAGGCUUUCAACUCUACCUAAAACAGCUCUCUGUUGGUUAUACAUGAUCACAGCUCAUUAUCUUUAUGACGCUAGUAGACUCAUAAUAGCACACGUCUAUGACUAAUGAAUGUCUUCUUCCUCCACUAGUUAGUAGGCUUUCCCUUCGAACCUGGAAUGGAGUCUUUCCCAUAGAAGGUGCUCAAUAAAUAUUGAUUGAAUGAAUGAAGAAUACUGGUAACUCCUAUUAUAUAUGCUUCCCUCUUCCCUGUCCCAUUUUCCUUUACUCCUUUCUCUUAGCUGCUUUCCUGUGCUUCUAGCUUCUCCUUUUUCUUCUUGUUGCUCCCAUGUUUGAAUUCCACCUCACAGGGUUUUAAAGAUUAAAAAAAUAAUAUGACAUUGAUUUGAAAACUAUAAAAUACUAUGAAAAGCAUAAAUACUAAGAUAGCAGACUUUUCAAGUCAUAAUACAUGCUAAUACAUUUUCUUGCUUCUUGGGAAAACUAUAAAUACUGUCAAAAGCUUAAGUACUAAGGUAGCGGGCUUUUUAAGUCAUAGUACGUCCUAAUGCAUUUUCUUGUUUCUCAGGAUUAACUGUGGCUUCAUGUCUCACUGUGCCAUUUGUGUAUUGCUGCUGCUUUCUUCUUUUCUCAGUUGCUGCUGAUGCUAGAAAGAUUAGUAGAUGAACAGAGUCAGCUCAGUGAGGACUUAGAUGCAAAGAGACAGCUCUCUAGCAGGCUGGUGAAGUUCCAUGCCCAUCCAGAGAGCCUGCCAACUUUCAAACUAGAACUUACAACAUCGUCCCUCCUGGUCCUCAGGCCUUCAGUCUCCAGCAGCAGCUAUACUGUCAGCUCUCCUGGGUCUCCAGCUUGCUGCCUGCAGAUCUUGCGGCUUCUCAGCCUCUAUCAUCACAUAAGUCAAUUCCUUCUAAUAAAUCUUUUUCUGGCAUCUAUAAA